GGCAGUGUGGUGCAGUGGUUUGAGUGCUGGACUCUGGAGACCAGGGUUCGAAUCCCAACUCAGUCA